CACAGGCAGAGGCCGGGGAAGCAGCGCGGCAUCCCAUCCUCAGGCCUGCCCGGACGGUGUUCGGGAUCAAGAGGACCACACUCCAGCCCAGGACAAAAGCCCCACGGUAGCACAUUGUCCGGCAGGAGAGGAGCAGACCCACGUCCAAGAAGAUGGUUGUACCUUUCCACGCCUCUUCUCUGCGAAAUGAAGCCACACCAUGACACAAUCUUGAAGAGGAAGCCGGGAAUGGGAGACGGCAACAAUCCCUGUCCCUGGAACGCUGGCCUCUAUGGACAAGCCACCCGCUUCGCACCCCUCCCCUUAUGCCCGUGGCGGUGGCACGGCGCCGUAUCCUGCCUGGGCUCUGGCCUCUGCUCUGUCCUCCCUCUUCCACUGUCUCCCCUGUUUCUCAGCGGCCUAGAUGCCUCUUGGUCUGGCUGAAUAUCUUCUAUGAAGAUCACUUCCCCGUCCAUCAGGGAGACAAUUCCUGGAGAUUCGUGUCAUGACUGUUUCUCUCUCCAAACCUGUUUCUGCUGGAUUGCGCAGGUCUGAUGACCCUGGAGCUCUUGGCUUCCAUACGUGUCUCAGACAGAAUCAUCUCCCCUGCCCCACAAACAUGAAAGAAAAGACAAGAGAAGCACCCCAGAAGAGGAGGGGAGAAGUGCCCCAGAAAAAAUCAUCCAGUCUCUGAAGCUUUGCCCAGGUUAGGUAGGGACUGGCAGGCACCUUGGCUGUCCUUGUGGCUUCUGUCUUGACCCUGGUCCUCCCCAGGCAGCUGAUUUUCUGGGCUGCUGCUCUUCCAGGAAGAAUUAAAGGUGGGAAUGGCUGAAACCUCAGCUUUGGAUUCACAGAGACCCUAGGCUGUGUCAUGCAGAAAGGGAAAGGAUUGCAGAUGGUGGUGGGAUCAGCCGAAGGCAGGGCCUUCACUGUGAUGCUGGAGCCCUCCAUGCUGGGAUGUUUGCAUACAGCCCAGGUUCAGUUCGGUGGUCCAUCAGCGAGUCCUGGAUCUGGUCUCACUCACAAGCCAUGGACAACAUGAGCUCAGUUUGCCAGGACUCUUGGGGUUAGGGAGAGCUCAGCAUCCGGGUGGCUCUGGUUCCUUCUCAUGCUGAAACUCUGCUGGUGUUCCUCCAUGGGGCAAAUGUGGGUUUUUCUGAGGUGCCCCUCUUGCUGGAGUUGAGGAUGAGAAAUGUUUUCAGUGGGUUUGCACCCUCCACACAUAUGUAAGAGGUGUUGUGUUUCAUUCCUGUCAGGAUCCAUUGCUGCAGCUUCCUGAAGUUGUGUCCGUUAAAAGGCAGGGACCCGGUGUCCAGGCUACAGAGGGUGACUCCAGGUUCCACACCACCACUGUGGACCAGUGUGCCUAUGGACUUAGGAGAGUUCCCAGAUCGCACAAGGGGGCUGCCCCAGAGGGUGUUCAGCUUGUUGCCAACAGUUGCUGAAGCCAAAGUCUGCAACCUUGAUGUUCAGGUCAAGUAGCCAGAAACAGGUGUUCUGGCUUUAGGUCCCUGUGGACAAUGCCAUUCUCUCCUUCCCAGGCUACUGAUGUCCUGGGUUGCUCCUCUUAUGGUAGAAGCUCAAGAUGGAAUGGCUGGAGCUUGGCUGCCUCCGGUUAGAGCCUGGGCUCUGUAUUGCAGACAUCACCUGGCAGAAUUCCUCAUGGGCCCCUUUUGUCGUGGGUGCGACUGCUGGGCCAGGGUUGUCGUGGGUAGUAAAGGUAUUUACCAAGACAACCGUGAGUAAAGAAAGGCAAAUUUAUUACAGAAACUAUGAAAAUACAUUGCAAGAAUGCAACAUGCAGCACAGCAGAGAAGGGGCUGUCUGCAAAGAUAAAGGGCUGGAGGGAAGUUUUCUAAGGUUGUGCUGGACGGCGCUAUGUGCAGGUGAGCUUGUGCUAUAUGCUAAGAAUAUGUUGGAAUAAUUUUAACUGCCAGACCUUUCCUCUUCUGGUGCCCGAGGGAAACGCCCUGCUGCUUUUAGCUGUCUUGUAACCCACACGCCUUUUCACUUCUGAAGUUGCAAGAAUAACGGCUGUGGUUUUUCACACAAAAGGGUUGCAGACUGGGUUAGGUCCCUGUUCCGCCAACCUGGCUGUUUCCCAGUUUCAGUUAACUUAGUGGUUUACUAGAGCCCCACACCUUUCUCUUUCAUAUGGCCAUGAUCCAGGAGGUAAUCCGUCACCUCCCCUCCACUAGAGUGCUCCAUGGCCAGGGAUAAUCCGUCACCUCCCCUCCACCAGAGUGCUCCAUGGCCAGGGGUAAUCCUCACCUCUCCUCCGCUAGAGUGUUCCAUGGCCAGGCAGUGUUUCCUGGGUCCAGAGCACCUCAAACAAUUUCAGUGUUGUGGUGACUCAGGGCCUUCACCAUACAGACUUGACAGCAUAGUCUAGAGGCUGGAGGGGCUCUGUGACUCCCAUUAAUGACAGUCACUGCCACGGUUUCCCCAGGCAGGAUGUGCCAGGAGAACUGCUCCAUGUUGGCUCAGCAGAAUGUUAUUAUAGGUAGCUCAAAAAGAGAGGGAACAGGGCUUCUCUAGAUUAUUUCAGGGAACGAGCUAUUAUUUGAAUGUUAAUUUAAGACUAUUUUAUCAAUUAAAAAUGUAAGGCCCAAGAAACUUCAGUGAGGAAGAAUGAACAAAUUGAAUAAAUACUGUUAAACUUUAUGCUUCUUUCAGCAAAUAUUUUCUGCUCGUCUCUAUGAGUCAGGCACUUUGCUAGAUAACAUAACAUAGAAACAUAGCAUCAAUCCAAUAUGGUGUGGGUACUGUAUGUCAAAUUUAAAAAUAAAAGUGCUAUAUAA
ensembl:lncRNA LINC02693 long intergenic non-protein coding RNA 2693